rnacentral:rRNA from 1 species
GUGCCAGAGCCGCGGUCAUACCGGCAGCCCGAGUGAUGGCCGAUCUUAUUGGGCCUAAAGCGUCCGUAGCUGGGUCUGAAAGUCCAUCGGGAAAUCCACUCGCUCAACGAGUGGCCGUCCGGUGGAAACUCCACACCUUGGGACCGGAAGGCUUGAAGGGUACGGCCGGGGUAGGAGUGAAAUCCUGUAAUCCCGUCCGGACCACCGAUGGCGAAAGCACUCCGAGAAAACGGAUCCGACAGUGAGGGACGAAAGCUAAGAUCGCGAACCGGAUUAGUAACCCUGGUAGUCC